rnacentral:rRNA from 1 species
AUUGAACGCUGGCGGCAUGCCUAACACAUGCAAGUCGAACGGUAACAGGAAGAAGCUUGCUUAUUUGCUGACGAGUGGCGGAUGAGUGAGCAAUGUCUAGCCAACUGCCUGAUGUAGGGGGAUAACUACUGGAAACGGAAGCUAAUACCUCAUAGCGUCGCAAGACCAAAGCGGGGGGCCUUCGUUCCUCUUGCCAUCUUAUGUGCGCAGAUGGGAUUAGCUAGUAGGUGGGGUAACGGCUCACCUAGGCGACGAUCCCUAGCUGGUCUGAGAGGAUGACCAGCCACACUGGAACUGAGACACGGUCCAGACUCCUACGGGAGGCAGCAGUGGGGAAUAUUGGACAAUGGGCGCAAGCCUGAUGCAGCAAUGCCGCGUGUAGGAAGAAGGCCUUCGGGUUGUAAAGUACUUUCAGCGGGGAGGAAGGGAGUAAAGUUAAUACCUUUAGUCAUUGACGUUACCCGCAGAAGAAGCACCGGCUAACUACGUG